UUAGAUACUGGRAUGAACGAUACUACACCUAAAAAUUUUCUAAUUUUAAAUAUUUUAAUUUAGGGUUUUAGUUAAAACACUAAAAUAUAUAAAAAAGACGAUAAGACCCUAAAAGCUUUAUUUUUAAUUUAUAUUUUAAAUAAUAUUAAUUUUUAAGUAAAAAUUUUACUGGGGUAGUAUUUAGAUUAAUUUUUUAAUUUUAUUCUUUUAUGAUUUAAAAUUCCUUUAUAUAAGGAUAUGAGAUAAGUUACUUUAGGGAUAACAGCGUAAUAAUAUUGAGAAGAACAUAUUUAUAAUAUUGAUUACGACCUCGAUGUUGAAUUAAUUAAUCUUUUUAAAGCAGAUUUUAAAAAAGAAGGUUUGUUCAACCUUUAAU
rnacentral:rRNA from 1 species